CUCUGCAGCUGGGGACAGCGUUGGGGGCCCGCUUGAAUCAGACACAGUUGGUGGAGGGAGGAAUAUCAGGAAUACACCCUUCCACCACAUUUGUGUCUCCCUGGGAGGGCUUUGUAGAAAGAAUCUAAACAUUCUUUCGCCUUCCUGUCUUCGGACUGGACUGCACGAAUGGCAUGCUGAAGCUAUAUCCAAGAGAAAAAGAAGAGCUGAGACGUGUAUCCAUAGCACCUUCGUGCGUUUUCAUCUUGCUGAGUUUUCUCCUCUUCCCCUGCUACUUCCAGCACAUCUUGAUGUGGAAUCUCUGGCCCUUCACAUGAUUCCCCAGGGCAUUAAUCCAUUCAGCCCCUUCUGGGUCGUGCGUGAUAAAUCACAAUUUUCAACCUCAAGCCGUCCUAAAUCUUGCUUGUGCUCCAUUAAUGAAAUCAUCUCUUUUAUCUCAUCACUGCAGAUGUCAUGAUUUAUCUAUUCCUCCGUUGACGUGGCCUGCCAAAAAGUAUGGGAUAUUUCUGGGUGCUACACCUGUGCUAAGCACAGGAGGGACAGCAAGCGACAUGGACAAGCCCCGACUCCAAUAGAAUUUCGGAAAAGCCAGACACGAAGCAACUCAUGGCAAUAAAGGCAGAGAAUGAGAUCA
rnacentral:lncRNA from 1 species